UUUGAGUUUAGGUUAAGAGGAAAGAAGACACACUGGGAAGUCUUACAUAUUUAUAUAAAUAUAAGAUUGAUUGCACAGAUUGCAGUUUAUGAGCUGCAGUUCAUCUUCAUCACUCACUACAUUGUUUCAUACAGAAAAUGAAACAGAGAUUACAUGGAGGAAAAAAAAAUUAAAACUUUAUCAUACAAAAGAAGGGUACAACUUUUCCUCUAGUUUCUGCUGAACAAACUUCUUAAUUUCCCUCUUUCCAACCGCUCAAGCAGCUUCUUAGCCCCUGGGAUGUCCAUCUCAGUAAGCUUCUUGAGGUACCCAAUUGCUCCAUAGGAAAUCAUCAGCUUUUUACAUUUCCUGCUUGAAGAAAGAGAUGUUAGGCAGGACACAGCAUACUUCUUUGCAGUGUUUUGUGGACUUGGGUCAAGCAAUUGCACCAGAUUUGGCACACUUUUAUCAUUCUUUUUAACUUCUCUGCAAUUCUGUGAAUAGAUCACCAAACUUGAAAUUGCUUGUGCCGAAACCUCCCUAACACUGUAUGAUUUAGCAUCAAGCAAUUUGACAAGCAGAGGAAUGCAUCCUGCUUCACCCACCAAUUUUUUCAUCUCAGUUGAGCUGCAAACCCGACAAAUCGCAGAUGCAGCAGCUUGUUGUGCACCCAAUGAUCCAGAUUUAAGGACAUGAACCAAGCGAGGGAGGAAACCAAGAGACACCAACAAUUCCAUAGAAACUGAGGUGACCAAAUUCCUUAAUGCUGCCACUGCAGAUUCUUGGGGCAAUGGACCGUCUAGAUACGUCAAUAGGCUUCGGAUUCCGCCUUCUGAAAUAACAAUUCUCCUUAGAUUGUCAUUGCUGGCAGUGAGAUGCUGCAAGCAUUCUGCAGCAUAUUCUUUGGAUCCUAGUAGAAUUCCACAAUCAAGGAGAUUGAUCAUGACUUUCACAAUCCCUUCUUCAGCUAAAUUUUGUCUAACCUCAGGUACAACUGAUAUGUUCUUUAAAGUACAAGCAGCUGCAGCCUGUGAUACUGAAUCACCAGUUUGACAGAUUUCAAUCAGUGGUCGAACCCCACCAUGUCCAACAAUUGCCCUAGUUGUUUCUGUUGUCAUUGACAAUCUCUGGAGCGAGAUGGUAGCUUUCUCUCUGCCCACUGUGCUACCUGACUCAACAAGCCGUAUUAGCGGUGGCAACACACCUUCAGAAACAAGCCAAUUCUCGCAUCUCCCAGAUUCUGCAAGCGAGCAGAUUACAGUAACAGCCUUUUCCCGGAUACGAGGAGAGGUUGCAGUUAAUAGCUGGACUAGAGCAGCAAUAUUGCUUAUGCCCAAAACAGCCAAAACGGUCUUCUCAUCUUCUUUCAUGACAUCAAUGAGGCUGUCAAGAGCUUUGUGCUUGGCCUCUAAGUGCCCGAUCUGAAGCCGAGCAAGCAAUUCCCUUAUAUUGCUAUGAAUGGCAGCCUCGGGUUCUGUUGAUGAACCAGCAGCAGCCAAAUGCAAAGUAGCUUCACCAAGCACCCCAGUCUUGAUCAAAAGUGCGCAAUCUCGUAAAUUUAAAUCCAAUUUCCCAGAUAAACCAUCAAGAUCACUCUGCAUCCUAAGUUUACCCUCAUAUUUCUCACUGUUACAUAAAUCUGACAAUUCAAUUGCUUCUUUCAGCGUCUUUGACACAGCCUGCAAUUGCUCUUUGCAAAGUGCAUUCUUGAAGAAGCAAGGGUGGCUCGACAAGUUAGAUAAAUGUGAGGGGAUCUGCUCCAACUUGGAAAUUAUCAUCUUCCAUCUGCCAGGAAACCCCUUUACAGCUUUGGCCUUAUCAAGUGCCAAGGGAACAAGCUCUUGAGCAUGUGAUAACCAGUCUUCAACUGAUUGAACAUCUGUUAUAACUUCUUUUUCUCUAUCUUCCACCAUGAUUUCUAUAUGGUACGGAUCAGAUUGGUCAAGAAAGCUGCACCAACUGAAUUACAGAAAAAAAAAACCAACGUGGUGACCCAACUAAGAAGAAAAGAGAAAGAAGUGAUAUUUGCAUAGAAAAUUCGAAAGCAGAGGAGCAGUUGCAAUCAUCAGAUAUGAAUUAUAAACAAAGGGUGCUGGUUUAAAAAAAAACAAAGAGCUUCGAGAUUCUUGUAUGAUCACACAAAGCUUUGUUUUCAUUGAAAACAAGAACCGACCAACAAAAUCAAAAAGGGACUAUAUAAAGAUGCCCACACGAGUCAUGCCAAUAUCCAUUUUUUCAUGUGAUCAUUAAAUGCCAACCAAAAUUAAAUCUACUAUAAUGACGAUACUAAACAACUUUCAGAAAGAAAACAAAAAAAUCGUGGAUCCACUCAUGUUAACAAAGCAAGUUACUUUUAACUCGGCUGUUUCAUUAACAAAAACGACGGCCAAUGGUUUUCUUCCAAAUACCCAAAAUACCCUUUUGAAUAUCACCUCAGGUAUUUUGCUGGUUUAUAGGGCAUGGUAGGAAGGGAAAAAAGAAAAACUUUACUCUUCAACUGUGAAGAAGGUAGGACCUGGCAUCAGAUUUAUCUUCUGGAUUUUGGUAAGACCAUCCUGAUCCAUAUCCAACGGUGAACAAUUUUGGGAUGAAAGCAGGAUUCUUAGACGUAUUGCCAUUUUUAUCCUCGUAAAUAUAGCUAGAGAUGGAUUGAGAGAGAGAAAGAGAGAGACUUUCCUUUGAAGAGACGACACAAGUCUCUAUCAACAGUUGUAUACAUAUCGAGUGUAUUUAAAUUUAUCAAGAUGAAAUCAAUGGACCAACCCCACUCAAUGUCAUAAGAUAAAUUAAAGAACUAUUCCAAACAGAAAAUACCUCAAAUUGCUUUGACUUUCCUCAACAUUCAAAGCGCCCUUCACCAUUUACAGUCACCAGAACCUGAUAAAGGCCUCCAUUUUGCUCUCUCCCUCUCUACAGCAUCUUCUUUAAGCCUCAGGAACUAGAAUUUGUCCUUUUCUCCAGAAAGUAAUACACAUAGCUUGAUCUUUAAACCUCUCGACCUCCUCGAUCUCAAUCGUAACCAGAAGAUGCUUCAAGGAAUCAGCAAACCCCUACAGCUUUGUCUUCAAACUUCAGUCUCUCUCUAAGCUAGAAUACAGUAAUACCUCCAAAAUCAGCAAUCAGCCUCAGUUUGAUCUUCAAAUUAAACGAGUACCCAUGAGCUGCUGUUGUUGUUGCCCAACAGAGAAGCAGAGAUCAACGGUCGAAAUCAGUUUAAAAAAUAGCAAAUAAAUUAGACAAGACUCGGGAGGACCCAGCAAAGCUGAAGUUUGAAAAACCCAACUGAAAACCAUUCGACCUUUAAAACUACCAGACACAGAAUGCAUAAUUUAGUGACCAUCACAAUCACAUUCAAAAAUCAAACCUUCUUCAAAUCUCCCCAUAGAAUAGAAUUAUUUCUCUCUCAUCUCCUCGCCUAGAAGGAGAUGUGUCAGAGCUCCCUGUCUGCCAAGAUUCUGUAAAAGCUGAAAGAAAAACACAUUAUUUUAACUUUGCUGUGUUUCUGGAGACUAGAGCGAGAGGAGUACGGACAGACAGGGGGGAUUAAAUGUCGAACAUUAUUGAUGAU
rnacentral:misc_RNA from 1 species